rnacentral:rRNA from 1 species
GAUGAGCGCUGGCGGCGUGCCUAAUACAUGCAAGUCGAGCGGACUGAUUAGAAGCUUGCUUCUAUGACGUUAGCGGCGGACGGGUGAGUAACACGUGGGCAACCUGCCUGUAAGACUGGGAUAACUUCGGGAAACCGAAGCUAAUACCGGAUAGGAUCAUCUCCUUCAUAGGAGAUGAUUGAAAGAUGGUUUCGGCUAUCACUUACAGAUGGGCCCGCGGUGCAUUAGCUAGUUGGUGAGGUAACGGCUCACCAAGGCAACGAUGCAUAGCCGACCUGAGAGGGUGAUCGGCCACACUGGGACUGAGACACGGCCCAGACUCCUACGGGAGGCAGCAGUAGGGAAUCUUCCGCAAUGGACGAAAGUCUGACGGAGCAACGCCGCGUGAGUGAUGAAGGCUUUCGGGUCGUAAAACUCUGUUGUUAGGGAAGAACAAGUACAAGAGUAACUGCUUGUACCUUGACGGUACCUAACCAGAAAGCCACGGCUAACUACGUGCCAGCCGCCGCUGUAACAC